rnacentral:rRNA from 1 species
AAUAUUUGACAAUGGGCGAAAGCCUGAUCCAGCCAUGCCGCGUGUGUGAAGAAGGCCUUUUGGUUGUUAAGCACUUUAAGCGAGGUGGAGGAGAUCUUGGUUAAUACCCAAGAUGCUUGGACGUUACUCGAAGAAUAAGAACCGGCUAACUCUGUGCCAGCAGCCGCGGUAAUACCGAGGGUGCAAGGGUUACUCGGAUUUACUGGGCGUAAAGCGCGCGUAGGUGGCCCAUUAAGUCAAAUGUGAAAUCCCCGAGCUUAACUUGGGAAUUGCAUUCGAUACUGGUUGGCUAGAGUAUGGGAGAGGAUGGUAGAAUUCCAGGUGUAGCGGUGAAAUGCGUAGAGAUCUGGAGGAAUACCGAUGGCGAAGGCAGCCAUCUGGCCUAAUACUGACACUGAGGUGCGAAAGCAUGGGGAGCAAAC